GGAAACGACUGCUAAUACCCCAUAUGCCGAGAGGUGAAACAUUAAUGGCCUGAGGAGGAGCUCGCGUCUGAUUAGCUAGUUGGUGGGGUAAAGGCCUACCAAGGCGACGAUCAGUAGCUGGUCUGAGAGGAUGAUCAGCCACACUGGGACUGAGACACGGCCCAGACUCCUACGGGAGGCAGCAGUGGGGAAUUUUCCGCAAUGGGCGAAAGCCUGACGGAGCAAGACCGCGUGAGGGAGGAAGGUCUGUGGAUUGUAAACCUCUUUUCUCAGGGAAGAAGAACUGACGGUACCUGAGGAAUCAGCAUCGGCUAACUCCGUGCCAGCAGCCGCGGUAAUACGGAGGAUGCAAGCGUUAUCCGGAAUUAUUGGGCGUAAAGCGUCCGUAGGUGGCUAAGCAAGUCUGCUGUUAAAGAGCGGAGCUAAACUCCGUAAAGGCGGUGGAAACUGCAUAGCUAGAGUGUGGUAGGGGUAGAGGGAAUUCCCAGUGUAGCGGUGAAAUGCGUAGAUAUUGGGAAGAACACCGGUGGCGAAGGCGCUCUACUGGGCCACAACUGACACUGAUGGACGAAAGCUAGGGGAGCGAAAGGGAUUAGAUACCCC
rnacentral:rRNA from 1 species